AUCCCAUGCGUGGGCAUUUCCUGAACAUCUCCUUGUAUCUCUCCUACAUCUCAUAUAAGGAUUCAAACUCCAACUGUAGGAAGAAGGAAAUAUCACUUCUCAACCU